UUACUUCCCUGUCCUUCAUGUUCACUAUUCACCUCAACUUCCUUAUUCCUUUCAUUAAUGAACCCACACAUCAUUUUUUUCAUCUCAUCCAUUAUUUUUUUUCCCAUAUCAUCUAGUUUCUGCUCCAUUUUUUCCAUUUUCAGAUCCAGCUUCCUCUCGGCAGUUUCUUGCCAAUUGCGCACCUUUUCCUCCAGCUCUUCCAUUCUAACAGUUUCUUGACUCACCACUUGACUUCUAGGCAUCUCGCGACACCCCUGGUACUGAUCUGGAUCAAAGCCCUCCC
rnacentral:misc_RNA from 1 species